rnacentral:rRNA from 1 species
UACGUAGGGUGCGAGCGUUAAUCGGAAUUACUGGGCGUAAAGCGUGCGCAGGCGGUUUUGUAAGACAGGCGUGAAAUCCCCGGGCUCAACCUGGGAAUGGCGCUUGUGACUGCAAAGCUGGAGUGCGGCAGAGGGGGAUGGAAUUCCGCGUGUAGCAGUGAAAUGCGUAGAUAUGCGGAGGAACACCGAUGGCGAAGGCAAUCCCCCUGGGCCUGCACUGACGCUCAUGCACGAAAGCGUGGGGAGCAAACAGG